rnacentral:rRNA from 1 species
AAAUAUAAAGAUUUGCCUGAGUAGUAGUAGUUAUGUUCUUGAAACUUAAAAAAUUUGGCGGUAUUUUAGUCUAUUCAGAGGAACCUGUAACGUAAUUGAUAAUCCACGUUGUACCUAACUUAAUUUUGUUAAUUUCAGUUUGUAUACCGCCGUUAUUUGAAAAUUUUUUUAGAAUAAUAAUUUUCUGGUUUUUGUAUUAAAUUUGAAAUCAGGUCAAGGUGCAGCUUAUAGUUAAGUGUUUUAUGGGUUACAAUAAAUUUAUUUAUACAGUUUAAGUAAUGAAAUUUAUUUAUUAAGGUGGAUUUGAAAGUAAA